AGUUAAUUAUACGACUGACGGAAGUGGAAGAAACCACAGGGAGUAUAAGGGAUGAGGAGCCGACCGUCUGGGCAUGAUAC
rnacentral:ncRNA from 2 species